rnacentral:rRNA from 1 species
UACGAAGGGUGCAAGCGUUAAUCGGAAUUACUGGGCGUAAAGGGCGCGUAGGCGGCUCUUGAAGGCUGUGGUGAAAGUCCGGGGCUCAACCUCGGAUCGGCCGUGGCGACUCGUGGGCUGGAGCACUGUAGAGGCGGGUGGAAUUCCGGGUGUAGCGGUGGAAUGCGUAGAGAUCCGGAAGAACACCAGUGGCGAAGGCGGCCCGCUGGGCAGUGGCUGACGCUGAAGCGCGACAGCGUGGGGAGCAAACAGG